UUUUGAAAGUCCAGAUAACAAGGCCAUGGCAAGAAAAGUUUUGGGUGAGGUCCAAUCAGUUUUUGGUAAGGAAAAGUGGAAGAAGGCUGUGAUCAAGGAUGCUGUUCACCAACAUUGGAAGUCUUGCGAGAUGAUUUCACUAGGAAAUCCAGUAACAAGUAUGAGGAACACAGGAGGAAUGUUAAGCGAAAUAACCGCAUGAAAAGAAAACUUUCCAGACGCCUCUCAAGCCUCGACAAGACGCCAUUGUCCGAGAAAGACAAGGAGAGGGCUCAAGAAAUCCUCCUUGCGCCAAAUGCAAUUGAGUACAUGUCAUCAGAAGAGAGUGACAGUGGUGCUACU